UCUGAGCAAGUACAGGCUUUACUUCCAGCUUCUGCUUAUCUUUCUUUGCCUGAGGGCAAUUUCUCUUAAAGUGCCCAACCAUGCCACACAGGAAGCAUGCUUUUCGGUUGCACUCUCCGGGAUGAUGUUUCUUGCAUCGCGGGCACUCAGGGUAAGAAUAAUCCUUGCGUACACCCUUGCCUUGAUUUCCUCGGAACCGCUUGUUCCGUUUUAAACCCACCACUGAUGACGUAGGUUUACUCUUCUGCUCAACCAUGGAGCCCCAACCACCUCUGCCAUAACUAGAAAUAUGGCAAGCGGUAUCCCAAUUUCGUGGCAUAAUCUCUCGAGGUCUUAAAAUACAUUCUCUAGGGCUCCCAGUCCAGAGAGCAUUCUUCAUAUCUGAAUCUCCCUGAAGGACUGUAGGUUCAUUUAUCCAAAUUUUCUCAUGCAAUGAUCCCACUUGAUUAUCAGCCAUACUAUGCUCUGCUGGUAAUACCGAAUUGAGAAUGCCUGGCAUCUGAGGUAAAGAUAGUACAGGAAACCUUUGUUGUUUCAACCUCUGAAUCUCCUCAUCAUGUCGUUGAAUCAUAGCUUCCAUUUCUGCGAAUCUUUGCUCCAACCCCCACGGAGCCUGUGACGAACGACCAUCACUCCCAUCAGAAGCCAUCCAAAGGCUUUCACCUUGGUUGCGGGAAGAACUCAAACUCCAUUCUCUCCAACCGUUACUAGCCCUGACCACACUAUCCAGACUCCCCAUAUUGCACCAGGUGUCCAUACUAUAGGACAAACCUGCCAAUUAGUAAGUCAGUCUGGUCAGGCAACGAUCCCAUUACAAACUUUCUACCGCACUUAUGGAUUCUAAGGCAACGCACUUUAAAAUAAUUAAUUAAAAUCUAAUAUGCUUCCUAACAUGCUCUCACAUUCACAAUUAUUUAAAAUACUAAACAAGUACGGGCUUACUGAACCGUGAACCGAACUUUCUCUGAUGAAGAUUGUACAUGUCAUAGCAAGCUUCGGUAGACAAACCUGGCGGCUCUGAUACCAAAAUUGUAACGCCCUAAUGCUAAGGCACGCUACAGUGCUUUUUCAAUUAUUGUGCAAUCUUUGCUAAUCAAAGAAUUUCUCGAAAAACGUGUCAAAUUAAAACUUUUGCUUUAAAUAUUAAACUUUGUAAUAUAAUAUAAUAUUUACAAAUCUCGGGAUCCCGAUUUCAAACUUCGUAAAAUUUACUUUUUAAACUUUACAUUUCAAAAUACAUAAUUUUCAGGUCGCACAGCGACUUUCAAAAUAUAACUCCCAGAUGUCCCGAGACCGAACACUCCAGGUCGCGCCGCUUGACAUGUACAAUCCCAUCUGAGCUCGGGUUCACUCCUGUUCAGUCAUAGCCUUUCCCUUACCUACACAUGAAAGUAGAAACUGUGAGUCAACAGACUCAGUAAGAAAUGCAUAUAACACAUCAUAUAAUUUCCGACCAACAAAUCACAGAACAAACCAAUAAUUCAAUUUAUGCCAUUAAAGCUCAAAGCUUGACUUUCAAAACUCAAGCUUGCUUAAAACCAACACCAAGCAUCAAAGUUAACUACUAGAACCCUUAAUCAACCAAUAUUGAGCAUAAAAAUCUAACCCUAACCAUUUCUAAACUUAACAGCCACCAUAAAUCAAAAUCAUGCUUGAAACCAAAAUAAACUCAACUAAAAAACUCAUAACUCAAAAGAUAAAGGUUUCUAGGGUUUACCUCACUUACUACAACCUUGAAUCCUUGAUAAUUUCCAGAGAAAUGGAAGAAAAAAUGAUGCCCUUGCCUUGGAUUUGCCUCAGCCGAAAGAGAGGAAGAGAAAAAGAGAGUUCUAGGUUGACUUUUUCUUUCAUUUUCUAUUUCAAAUGAAAAGGGAAUUAAUUGAUUAAUUCCUUGCUGAGUUGAUUAAACUACUAGGUGUCACAACCCUAGGCUGCCACCUACUCCCCCCUUGGCAAAUUACUAAAAUGCCCUUACUCAUAAAACUAGGGUAUUUUCAAGACUAGGGGUAAAAUGGUCAAACUCCAUAUCCCCGCUCAAUCUCGAUAAAAUAUUUUCUCUAAAAUAUUUCCCACUAUGAAAUAAGGUUCUAAACUUACCCAUGUGAUCAAUCUACCCAUCCAUCACAUUUUCUGUUGUCGCCGAGCAAAAAUUACAAAAUUAACAUAUUUUACAUAUAAGCUAAAUAAUACCCCUAGAGUUUAAUAAAAUCUCCAAAAUUGAGAAAUUAUAAUUCUAACAUUUAUUUUUAAAUAUUGGGGUCCACAUUUAAAAUUAAUUCACAAAUAAUAAUAAAAUAAUAAAAAUUAGUGCUAAUUGCCUUUUCUAAUCCACAUUACUAGAGCGGUCAUUACACCAUAUCUGUUAUAAUAAAAUCUUACUCGUGAUUUUUGGCUCUCUCAUAAUGCUCCCAUGUGUUUUGUCAUUGUUUCAGUUUUCAAAGCUCUAUAGAUUAUAUGGUUUUUUCUUCAUUGUUUUAUGCUUAUAGUCCAUGCCUUAUUUGUUGACAUUAAUGAAAUUUGUCUUGUUUUACAAUGUUUAUUUUGUUUUGCUAUUCGGUAAUAUUGACUUUCGGCACUUAAAUAUAUAGUAUUUAAACAGUGUACCAAACGAGCCCUACAUCUUUUACAUAAAAGAGAUUUGUUUUUGUUAAUAAAUGUACAAUUUGUAUUCUCGAUUACAUUUUUAGUUAUGAAAGUGUUCUUUAGUCGAUUGUGUAUAUUUUAAAGUGUUCUCGAUUACAAUUUGUAUUCAUGAUUUAUUACUAAUUAAAUUAUUUUGCAGGUUUUAAGAACUACGUGGAGCUUGAUCCCUAUUAAGUAAUAGGGUACGUAGGCAACUUUUUAUAAAGUGCAGCUCCAAACUAAUAAUUUUCUUUUUAUUAUUGAGUGGUGUUGAGGAGAAUUUCACUUGUCUUUCACUCCAGAAUAUUUUAGAUCAUGGAUGUAAGGGAGUUGAGCUUAUAUGUUGAAACUUAUGGUUUAGUUUUCCUUUCUUUCUUGAUUUUUUUUGUUUUGCACUUUGAACAUCAUUGCAGUUCUUAUGGAGAUAGCAAGCAUGGUUUCCCAAAGUCAUGAUUGGAAUUCCUGCAACUGACCUACUUUGUGAAAAAUAAGAACACUAGUUUUAUUUACUUCUCAUUGAUAAAUUGACUUUCUCUCUCCUUAUAUGACAGUAUUUACUCAUUAGGUAAAUGCAUUUGUUUUUUCAGCUUCUGGAGAUAGCUACCAUGGUUUCACAUAUUCAACAUUAGAUUUCCAAUUACCUACCUAAUUUGCGAGAAAUAAGAAGUUAAGCUUUACUUAGUUAUCCUUUUUUAAAUUGAUUGUGUUACUCUUUACCUAUGUCUUUUCUCAUUUGGUAAAUGUGUUGGUUUUUUCUAUAUUUAAUUGACUUUUGAAUAGAUAGAACUCUUGUGAACUAACAUUGCAUUGGUUGGUGGAAUCAGUCAUCAUUCCUUAUUUACUCUUUCACUUCCUUUGUGUGACAUAUUGCUUAGUGCUUCUUUCUUGAAUUUUCUUGAUUUGGCCUUUGGACGUUAUUGCAGUUUUCAUGGAGAUAGCAACUAGCAAGCAUUGUUUAAUUGAUUUUCUCUCUCCCUAUAUGAUGGUAUUUUUUUCAUUAGGUAAAUGCGUCGUUUGUUUUUAAGCCUAUGGAGAUGGCUACCAUGACCAUGGUUUCACAUAGUCAACUCUGGAUUACCUACAACCUUCCUAAUUUGUGAAAAUUAAGAAUUUCAGCUUUCCAUACUUAUCCUUUUAUAAAUUGUUGUUCCCCCCUCUCACUGUAUGUUUUUCCUCAUUUGGUAAAUUUAUCGUUUUUUCAGUACAUAUUUGACUUUUGACUGGAUAAAACUCUUGGGAAUUAAAGCUGGCCUGCAAUUGUGGUGUGGUUUUCCAAGAACAACACUGCACUGGUGGUACUCGUAUGGAUGCUUCCUGUGAUGGUGGUGUUCCCUUCCCAAACUUAAGUUAUAUGUUUACUUAUUCUUUGGUCUCCCUUUGAUAUUUUUUUCGGAACUAUAGGGAUCCAAGUAUUUUCUGAAUUCUCUCAUUUUAGGUCGGCAAAUGUUUUGUUCAAGGCUUAAAGUGAUAGGGGUGCUACUAGAGGUUCGGCAAUUCAUUGAUCUUAAUUUGGGCUUAUGUUUUUUUAUGAUGUGAAAGUGUUCAUGGCCUUAUUCUUUUGUGCUCACGGACUUGCAAUGAAUUUUUCAGUGAUCCGCUUUUACUCAAAGAUUAUUUCCAUUAGCUGUGUUAAAUCAGGGACGCAUAUGUCUUCAUGCUUCGCUUGAAUUAAAUUUGAUACUAUAUGCAGAACUUUGAUGACACUAUCAGAUUUAGUAAUUAACCUCAGAGGGGAGUUGACUUGGCAUGGUUUUUUUUUUUAACACGGCUUUUUAUCUUCUGCUACAUCUUUGCAAUGUUUUGGUCAUGUUUUUGCCAUGGGGUGUUCAAUGUUUUUUCAGGCUCCAGCUUUUCUAGAAAUAAUUUUCUUAAUUAGUGUGUUCGUCUUCUUUUGAAUAACCUAUGAAUAUGGAAUUGGAACUACAUUGUAUACUCAUUUGAAAGAUAGUUGGUUUCAUGAAUUAAUCCGUUGUCGUGGUACUUGUUUGGUUGGAUGCCUUGAUGCUAUGUCAGAUGUUUGAUUGAUAUCUUUUGUUUAUUGCCUGUAAUUUUUUAUAAAUGCAGAGCAAGGCAAUGCCUACUGUUAUUGCCCCUCAACUUGUUAUGCCUGGCCAACUGUUUCUUGGUAUGAGGUUAGACAUUUGGUUUUACUAUGGUGUUGAUAUGUUGGUGUCGUAUUUAUAAUUCCUUGGGAGAUUAGUCUGAUUUCUGAUCACACUCUUUGUUUGAUGGUAUCCUAGUUUCAGUGUGGACUAUUUUUUAGGUGCGAUAGUGUUCACGCUACAUUUCUCUCUGAUAUUCUAUCUUCAAAUGCUCAGGGGAGUUAUAUAUUUAUAGAAAAAAUGGUGAAUUGACAUUCAAUUGGUGGUAAUGUUCUCUUUGAUCUAACUUUAUUUGGAGAGGGUGGUGUUGUGUAUACUUUGAUCGUUCUGUUUCUAAUUGGCUUUGUUAAAUGUAUCUGGGACUGGUAUAUUUGGUUUGAGAUUAUUGUUGACAGUGUCGUGUUAUUUGAUUAAACAGUUGACAUUUGAAGUUGUGAAACUGUUAUGAUUUUGAAGGCUUAGGCCUUACUAGAAAUGUGCUUAUGUUUCAUAUUUUAAUUUUGUAUUUUGAUUCUUUUUGUACGUUAAUCUCUAAUCUGAAUUUUUAUUGCUCGCCAUGUUACUGAUUAUGUUUCCUAAUUAACUUUUAAGAUAAUUGUUGACCUUUUGUUGUUAAGCUGGCAUUUUAUUAACAAUAGAUAUGCUAUGUUUGCCAAGCUAGUGAUCAAUUUGUUUGCAAUCGUUCACACUGAACUUAUGUUACUAUCUUGACCAUAUGAAGAUAUAUAAUAGGCCUCAUUAAAAGAUGUUCUUACAUUUUACCUCCUCUUCUUUGAGGAUUUUUGUAGGUGAUGAAAAAUGGUUUGAGGCAAUCUUAGCAUCUGCCUUUGUUUGUUAACUCCAAGAACUUGACUUGCUUCAAUAUUCCUAUUUACAAGCACCUUUGAAGGGUGUUAACUUCCCUUAUCACUACUUUUAUCUCAUACCUGUGGUUUAGUUUAGUUUUCCUUUUUCGUUUUAGCUUGAAUUUGCUUUUGUUUGGACUUUGAACAUGCAGUUAUUUCAAGUCAUUAUGUGGUUUGUAUUUUUUUUUAAUUAGUUUCAGGCUCUUUGUUGGCAAUUUACAAGCUUUAGGAAGAUGAUUCGUCUUAUAUUCCGUGUGGAGCUUCUUGUUUCGAGAGGAUGUCUUUGGCUCCAACAAAUUUUCAGGGUUCACUUUUUCUCUAGAAUAUUCUCAUAAAAUGAAUUAGUGUCUGCAUCUUCUCCAGCCCCAAUAAAAGGGAGUUAUCUUGUAAUAGUAUCUUUUAAUAGACGACGAUUUUUUAUCUUUCACUACAUUGUGAUUUUUUGUUCAUGUCUUUGCUUGGGGUGUUCGACUAAUUUUCAGGGUUCAGAUUUUCUCAAGAAUAUUCUCAUUAAAUUAGUGUCUGCAUCUUCUCCAGUCCCAAUAAAAGGGAGUUAACUUAUCAUAGUAUCUUUUAAUAGAUUAUUUUAAUAGAUGACUUUUUAACUUUCACUACAUUGUGAUUUUUUGUUCAUGCCUUUGCUUGGGGUGUUCAAGUAAUUUUCAGGGUUCAGAAUUUCUCAAGAAUAUUUUCAUUAAAUUAGUGUCUGCAUCUUCUCCAGUCCCAAUAAAAGGGAGUUAACUUAUCAUAGUAUCUUUUAAUUGAUGACUUUUUAACUUUCACUACAUUGUGAUUUUUUGUUCAUGUCUUUGCUUGAGGUGUUCAACUAAUUUUCAGGGUUCAGAUUUUCUAAAGAAUAUUCUCAUUAAAUUAGUUCUGCAUCUGCUCCAGUUCCAAUAAAAGGGAGUUAACUUGUCAUAAUAUCUUUUAAUAGACGACUUAUUAUCUUUUACUAUAUUGUGAUUUUUUGCUCAUGUCUUUGCUUGGGGUGUUCAACUAAUUUGCAGGGUUAGCUUUUCUCAAGAAUAUUCUCGUGAUUAGUGUUUGCACUCCACUCCCAGUAAAAGGGAGUCAACUUGUCAUACUAUCUUUUAAUAGUCAACUUAUUUUAUCUUUCACUACAUUGUGUUUUUUGUUCAUGUCUUUGAUUGGGGUAUUCUAUGAAAUUUCAG